ACCAAAAUGAUGUAAACAAUUUCCCCGAAGCACCAUGUGGGUGAAAGUAACGAGCUUUUUAACACUGAUACUG